GAGGCGAUAUCAGUGAUGAAUUGCACUCACAAACCUGCUUUUGAUUAUUGUGAAUGGAAUCGUUUAACAACUGAAAAGCUUUAUGGAAUAUGUCGGAUUCUGCUCUGAGCCUAACGGACCGAGACAGAAGG
rfam:Paenibacillus sp. FSL H7-0331 NODE_1_length_598685_cov_1.16318_ID_12075, whole genome shotgun sequence.